rnacentral:rRNA from 1 species
UUCCAGACUCCUACGGGAGGCAGCAGUGGGGAAUAUUGCACAAUGGGGGAAACCCUGAUGCAGCGACGCCGCGUGAGUGAAGAAGUAUUUCGGUAUGUAAAGCUCUAUCAGCAGGGAAGAUAAUGACGGUACCUGACUAAGAAGCCCCGGCUAACUACGUGCCAGCAGCCGCGGUAAUACGUAGGGGGCAAGCGUUAUCCGGAUUUACUGGGUGUAAAGGGUGCGUAGGUGGCAUGGCAAGUCAGAAGUGAAAGCCCGGGGCUCAACCCCGCGGACUGCUUUUGAAACUGUCAGGCUGGAGUACAGGAGAGGUAAGCGGAAUUCCUAGUGUAGCGGUGAAAUGCGUAGAUAUUAGGAGGAGCACCAGUGGCGAAGGCGGCUUACUGGACUGUAACUGACACUGAGGCACGAAAGCGUGGGGAGCAAACAGGAUUAGAUACCCUCGUA